GAUGUUUGUACUGUCUGUCUGUU
rnacentral:miRNA from 1 species